UGACCCAGGCAAUGAGCAAAGAAACACCUUGUUGGCAGUAUUCUUCUGUCAGUCAGUGCCAGAGCAGACAGCGGUCCUUUGUUCAUCCUAGCUUGAUGUCUGGCUUGGUGGUCAAAACUGUCUUAUGCCUAGGACACAUAA